ACAGUGAAAAGUUUACACAUUGCCACUUGCAGUACCACUUAGGCACAAAGGUACUUAGGUACAGCUUCUUUAGUUAGAAGAUCUUAGAAAAUAGAGAAAUAGAAUGUCCAGUGUUGCAGAAAUAAAAGUUCAGAAGAACAGUAUUCCAACCCAGAUCACACUGGCACCCAGCCUCAAGGCCGCACCGGGGCCUGGCUCUAGACUGCGCUGGGUUUCACAUUGACGUUCAUGAGGCUGGGAGAUCGUUUCAGACCACCACGCCAGGCUGAGGACACCAUGCCAGGAUAAGGGGCCGUCACACUGAGAGGCUUUCCAAAGGCUAAUGGACCUGCAUCAAAAGGCUUCCAGGCUUCACAGUUGCUGGGUGCCAGGCCUGAAAGAGCAACCUGACAGUCCUACCAUGGUUGGUAAAACAAGUCCCGACAAUUUCUACCAAUCUGGGUAACAUUUCCAAACAGUAGGACAACAACGUAUGUAUCGCAUAAUGUAUUUGAUGAGCUUUGCUAAGGAAGUCACAAUGCACAGGUAAGAAACAGCAAUUUGGUGGUUAAAAUGAGCAGGAAUAAGAUGCUUGGAUGGCCGUCUGAUACCUGGGUGGUCACAUGAAGGUCAGAACACUAUCCCAGACUACUGAAUGACUACUUGAUGCCCUGACGGCUGCCAAGGGCUUGAAUGAACACCUAACGCCUGGAUGACCUAAUGCCCAGAUAAUGAAUUCCUGUCUGAUGACCAUUUGAAGCCUGAAUGAUUUGGCAUCAAUGACAUGUGGUACUUUAUAAAAUCUAGCCCUGAGAUAUCUUUGGGCUGCUAUUUCUUGGUGGUUUUGCUGUUGAUUGAGAAAGAAGAUGAAAUUAUGAAUUAAAAUUUCACGAUUUACCAUGAUGGAACUUGAACCAAUGUCCUCCAUACUUUGGGCCGGAUUACAAAGCCGGUGACAUUACCACUACACCACUGCUGAGAUGAAAUUGGGUAUCGUGUUGCUGGAUCAUGUCACCUCUUUGAUCUAUCUGUGAUCAGCACUGGGACUGAUACUACAGUCAAUUCCUGAAGCAGCUUGGGCUUACCAUAAUUGGCGCAGGCAGUGGGAUUUGCUGUGGGAAAAUUUUGCUACAAAUGUUCUUGCAGUAGAUGAUGCCAUCAGAUUGUCUCCAUGAUCAAAUCCCAUGGAGGCACUUGAACAUUAUUAUUGUCAAUUACGUUUGCCAAAGACUUGGAGAUUGA